CACGGAGUUAGCCGGUGCUUCUUCUGUAGGUACCGUCAUUAUCUUCCCUACUGAAAGUGCUUUACAACCCGCAGGCCUUCUUCACACACGCGGCAUUGCUGGAUCAGGCUUCCGCCCAUUGUCCAAUAUUCCC
rnacentral:rRNA from 1 species